ACACUGAAGCGUCGAUUGGAUUGAGGAGAGGUAGAGAAAGAAGAGGCCGAUGAGUAGGAAAAAAAUAUAUUAAAAUGCCGGAAGGGGAAUCGCAAGCGACGAAGGAGAUGGUGAAGAUGUCGAUUAACCUAAUCUUCCUAUAUGUCUGUAUUAACAGACUGGGCCAGAUACUAAGCCCAAUAAAGUGAAAAUCCAUUAGCCCAAUCUUUUCUCGAAGCCCAUGCGUUACCAUCUAUUUUUACACAAACAGACACACGGCGCAACUCUGUAACUCAGACUUAUCUGAGACAAUGAUGAAAAGAACUCUAACUCGUGUUAAACGAAGACAGUUUACAAUAUGGAAAAACUAUAAUUGUUGUUUUUUCAUAUAACGUGAUGAACCUCAUUUAAAAAUGAAACUCAUAAUACACUUGUAGGCCCGGCCCACAGAGAAAACUUAAGAAGCAAAGGUUUCCGACCUUCAUAAAUAUAUUUUAGUUUCGGCCAUCAA
rnacentral:lncRNA from 1 species